AGAUUGAACGCUGGCGGCAUGCUUUACACAUGCAAGUCGAACGGCAGCACGGGGGCAACCCUGGUGGCGAGUGGCGAACGGGUGAGUAAUGCAUCGGAACGUAUCUUUAAGUGGGGGAUAACGCAUCGAAAGAUGCGCUAAUACCGCAUAAUCUCUGAGGAGAAAAAGCAGGGGAUCGCAAGACCUUGCGCUUUUGGAGCGGCCGAUGUCUGAUUAGCUAGUUGGUGGGGUAAAGGCUUACCAAGGCUUCGAUCAGUAGCUGGUCUGAGAGGACGACCAGCCACACUGGGACUGAGACACGGCCAGACUCCUACGGGAGUAGCAGUGGGGAAUUUUGGACAAGUGGGGGAAACCCUGGAUCCGAGCCAUGCCGCGUGAGUGAAGAGGCCUUCGGUGUAAGCUCUUCAGCCGGAACGAACGGUUACGUAAUAACGUGAC
rnacentral:rRNA from 1 species